rnacentral:misc_RNA from 1 species
CACACCGUGCAGGUCUGUUCGCUGGUCGGCCAUUGCGGGCUUCGCUCUCUUUUCGGCGCGUUAACGAUUGAUGGCCUGUUUUCGACGUUUCGAUUGAUCCGCGCAACCCUCGCACAGCAUGAUGUGGACGCGCCGCGCGCAUGCGACACAAGAUGUCGGUCAGCCAUCUGGCUAGCAUGGUAUGAAUCGCUGAUUCGGGCGCGUUUCGUUCCACCCGCGUUCCAAAC